rnacentral:rRNA from 1 species
UACGGGGGGGGUAAGCGUUGUCCGGAUUUAUUGGGCGUAAAGAGCGUGUAGGCGGUUAGGUAGGUCCGUUGUGAAAACUCGAGGCUCAACCUCGAGACGCCGAUGGAAACCAUCUGACUAGAGUCCGGAAGAGGAGAGUGGAAUUCCUGGUGUAGCGGUGAAAUGCGCAGAUAUCAGGAAGAACACCCGUGGCUAAGGCGGCUCUCUAGUACGUGACUGACGCUGAGACGCGAAAGCGUGGGGAGCGAACAGG